rnacentral:lncRNA from 1 species
UAUUGCUAUAAUAUGGGAAGAAUUAAUACUGGGUCGGCAUUUUUUAUUCAGAAAGAUGACGAAAAUUGCUUCAAAUAUUUCUUUAUAGGCCUUGGACAAUGUGUUCGAGGAUUUCGAAAUGCAAUGCGACCCCUAAUCUUAGUCGACGGUACAACCCUUAAGGCGAGAUACGGGGGCAAGUUGAUUAUUACAACAUGCCAAAAUGCGAACAUUCAAAUUUACCCUCUUGCGUUCGGUAUAGUCGACGGAGAAAAUGAUGUAGCAAUGAGUUGGUUUUUCACGAAGUUCAGGGAAGUAAUUGGAGAUGUCGAAAAUCUUGCAUUCGUAACCGAUCGAGGGCAGUUAAUAAUAAAUGGUAUCGCUGAAAUCUUCCCCGACGCACAUCAUGGUUAUUGUAUGUACCAUAUACAAGGAAACUUGAAGACCAGGUAUCGAGGCAAUGGCGUCGUUGCGUUGUUUAGGAGAGCUGCAGAGGCUUACAGUUUUGAAGAGUUUGAUAAAUUCAUGGUCGAAAUAGACAGUAAAUCGCAUGCUGCAUGGGAGUAUCUAACAGAGAUGGGGAUUGAACAUUGGGCACAAUCACAUUUUUCAGGACGUCGAUACAACAUGAUGACGUCGAACAAUGCGGAGUCGCUUAACGCUUUAUUCAAGAAAGAUCGAGAGUUACCAAUUCUCGCAAUGAUUGAGAACAUUCGUGACAAGCUACAACAGUGGUUUCAUGAUCGACGUGAGGAAUCA